rnacentral:lncRNA from 1 species
GAAGGGAGCUGUGUGUCGGAAUCUCCCGGGCUAGGUUGUGUCGAGGUUAGCGGCGUCAGUACCUUUUAAAGUGCUAGUAGUUGAUGUUGGUUUGUUGCUGAAAUGAUUACGUGGACCCCAAACCCAUUUUAGAGUGAAUCAAAAAUAUUACCUGGCCGGGCGCGGUGGCGUAGGGCUGUAAUCCCAGCGUCUGGGGAGGCUGAGGCAGGAGGAUCGUGAGUCCGAUGACAACCUCAGCAAUUUAGUGAGAUCCUGUAUCAAAAUAAGAAAUAAAAAGAACUGGGGAUGUAGCUUAGUGGUAAACCGGCUCUGGGUCCAAUCCUACUACUUAAAAACAAAAAGCUACCUGGUUUAUAAGUAAGUCUUUUCUAGAGUUGUUACCCCCCUCUACACGUCUGAACGCACCUGCUGGUAGGUUAGAACCACUCUGAAAGCAAUUAUGCAAAAUCUGUUAAAAUUGAAGAUUUUACAAUUCUAAACCCUAGAAUUCUACUCCUAAGUGUAUGACUUAUAGAAAUUUUGAUAUGUGGACAAAAGUGUAGUAACUAUAGUGUGGAUAGAAGCAAGAAAUGCGGAACAUCUAUCAAAGAAUGAAUACACUGGAUCGCUAACAAGAUGGAAUGUUAUAUGCUAGUAAAACAAGACUGAACUCUGAAAUAUGAUGAGGCAAAAGAGGAAGCUGUAGAAAUAAAUAGUAUGCCAACUUAAUUUCAACAGUACUAUAUAUUGCUUAGGGUAAUAAAAAAUGCAAGGAAAUGAAAAUCAAGUUUAGAAAAGUGGUCAUGUCUAUAGGGCUAAAACUACAAAAGGAGGCUGUAACAGUUUUGACCAUUAAGCUGGGUUUUGGAUAAAUGGGUGAUUACCAUUUCCUUAAUUAAACCUUAUUAAAGUAUGUAUUACCAUAUUCUUAUGGUUGUUUUAGAUAUGUAACAAAAAAUUGAAAAUAUAAUCCAGAGAAUUGCCAUGUGCCC